rnacentral:rRNA from 1 species
UUAGCGGAGAGUUUGAUCCUGGCUCAGGAUGAACGUUGGCGGUGUGCCUAAUACAUGCAAGUCGAACGGAGUUAAUAGCAAUAUUGACUUAGUGGCGAACGGGUGAGUAACGCGUUGGUGAUCUG